rnacentral:rRNA from 1 species
CCUCGAGGAAGAGAAAAUAACCAAUGAUUCCGUAAGUAGUGGCGAGCGAACGCGGAAGAGCCCAAACCUUUAUAGCUUUCAUCUGGCAAUUGCCGGAUGGAUAAGUUGCUAGACGAAUGCGAUAAAGGGGUUGUGACAUGCAAAUUACCUUGUGUGGUUCCUGGACUUGUUCCAGGCAUCGCAUAAGGAACUGGGAGCUAGCAGUAUCCCAGGUAAGGUAAGAAAUUUCCAAUGCGAGCAGAACGGUCUGGAAAGGCCGGCCAUAGACAGUGAAAGCCUGGUACGCAAAGUGUCGGAAACCUUAUAUUUGCAGCAAACUGAUGUUUGCCUCUUCAGAAGGAAGGUCCUUACGAGGACCUUGCCUUCUGAAGAGUUGUCGAGUAGGCCGGGACACGUGAAACCCUGGUUGAAUCUGGAGGGUCCACCCUCCAAGGCUAAAUAUAUCUUACGAUCGAUAGAGAACAAGUACCGUGAGGGAAAGGUGAAAAGAACCCCGGAAGGGGAGUGAAAUAGAACCUGAAAUUGUGUGCGUACAAGGAGUCGGAGCCCCUUUAUGGGGUGACGGCGUGCUUUUUGUAGAACGAUCCAGCGAGUUAUUUGCAGUAGCAAGCUUAAGGCAUUUGCCGGAGGCAUAGUGAAAGCGAGGCUGAAUAGGCCGACAAGUUGCUGUAAAUAGACCCGAAACCGGGUGACCUAACCAUGGGCAGGCUGAAGCGCAGGUAAAACUGCGUGGAGGGCCGAACCGUAGCGAAUUGCAAAACGCCCGGAUGACCUGUGGUUAGAGGUGAAAUGCCAAUCGAACUCGGAGAUAGCUGGUUCUCCUCGAAAUAGCUUUAGGGCUAGCGUCGUACGGUAGCAUGUAGGGGUAGAGCUCUGAUUCGGACUGGGGCCGGUAACGGUACCCACCCUUGUCAAACUACGAAUACUACAUGUGGAACUACGGCAGUUAGAACGGCGGGGCUAAGCUCGUCGCUCAAAAGGGAAACAGCCCAGACCUCCAGCUAAGGUCCCUAAGUCUAUGCUAAGUGGGAAACGAGGUGAGAUUUCUUAAACAACGAGGAUGUUGGCUUAGAAGCAGCCAUUCAUUUAAAGAGUGCGUAACAGCUCACUCGUCAAGAGAUCUUGCGCGGAAAAUGUAACGGGGCUAAGCAUAGCACCGAAGCUGAGGAUGUGUUAGCGAUUCGUCGCUAAUGCGUGGUAGAGGAGCGUUGAUAUUGCAUCGAAGCUGAACUGUGAGGUUUGGUGGAGCGGUAUCAAGUGAGAAUGCUGGAAUGAGUAACCAUAAGGCAGGUGAGAAUCCUGCCCACCGAAAGAGCAAGGUUUCCUGGGCCACGGUAAUCGUCCCAGGGUUAGUCGGUCCUAAGCCGAGGCGCGUAGCGUAGGCGAUGGACAACGGGUUAAUAUUCCCGUACUAGUUACAAUUUGUUAGGCGUGCGCGGCAUGUUAGCAAGAGCGGAUUCAUGGUUAUAUCCGUUUAAGUAUCAGAAAUGGGUACGAAUAAAAGAACCUUUUGGUUCGAUUCUUGUGAUAGUGCUGACUAGAAAAGCUACCUAACGCGUGGUUGUAUCUAUCCGUACCGCAAACCGACACAGGUGCUCAGGUCGAGUAGACCAAGGUGUACGAGUGAUUCUUCGUCAAGGAACUCGGCAAACAAGCGGCCGUAACUUCGGAAUAAGGCCUGCCCUCUCAUUGUGUGUAUCACAUGAGAAUUGCUGCUAGGAGUUCUUGAUGAUUAAUUCAAGAUAGAGUAGUAACUGAAUAUACGAUAUUUCUUGAGUUUACGUUGAGAAUAUAAUUCCUAGGAGCAAGUCCCAGUACUGUGGUAAGUACAAUGAGGGGGCUGCAACUAAGGAGCCCAUGCAACUGUUUACCAAAAACAUAGCUCUCUGCAAACACGAAAGUGGAAGUAUAGGGGGUGACGCCUGCCCGGUGCCGGAAGGUUAAGGUAAGAGGUUCACGCUUUGAACUGAAGCCCCGGUGAACGGCGGCGGUAACUAUAACCGUCCUAAGGUAGCGAAAUUCCUUGUCUGGUAAGUUCAGACCCGCACGAAUGGCGUAAUGAUAUGGGCACUGUCUCGACGAAGAGCUCGGUGAAAGUGCAUUGACGGUAAAGAUGCCGUCUGUCCGCAGCAGGACGAAAAGACCCCGUGGAGCUUUACUACAACUUGGCAUUGAGCCGGGUUAUAACAUGUGUAGCAUAGGUGGGAGACUUUGAAACUUUGGCGCUAGCCAAGGUGGAGUCGCCAGUGAAAUACCACUCUUGUUAUGAUCUUGUUCUCACCAGGACCGUUAUCCGGUUCUGGGACCGUGUCUGGCGGGUAGUUUAACUGGGGCGGUUGCCUCCUAAAGAGUAUCGGAGGCGUUCAAAGGUUAGCUAACUACGGAUGGAAAUCGUAGUGAUAGUGUAUACGCAUAAGCUAGCUUGACUGUGAGGGCGACAACCCAAGCAGGGACGAAAGUCGGAGUAAGUUUUCCGCUGUCAGUACAUUUGUACACGAGUGUGGUAUCGGCAGCGCUUUCGGAUAAAAGUUACCCCGGGGAUAACAGGCUUAUAGCGCCCAAUAGUUCACAUAGACGGCGCUGUUUGGCACCUCGAUGUCGGCUCAUCUCAUCCUGGGGCUGGAGCAGGUCCCAAGGGUCCGGCUGUUCGCCGGUUAAAGAGGUACGUGAGCUGGGUUCAGAACGUCGUGAGACAGUUCGGUUUAUAUCCGCUGUGGACGCUAAGAAACUUGACAGGAUUUGCCCCUAGUACGAGAGGACCGGGGUGAACGCACCGCUGGUGUACGGAUUGUGGUACCAACUGCAUUGUCCGGUAGCUAUGUGCGGACCAGAUAAGCGCUGAAAGCAUAUUAAGCGCGAAACUGACCUGAAGAUUAGGUUUCUCUAUGAGGACACUGAAAGACGAUCAGUUUGAUAGGCGCAAGGUGGAAGUACGGUAACGUAUGGAGCCGAAGCGUACUAAUAGUCCCAUUGACUUUUUA